rnacentral:tRNA from 1 species
GGGCGGUUAGCUCAGCUGGUAGAGCAUCUCGUUUACACCGAGAGGGUCGGCGGUUCAAGUCCGUCACCGCCCACCA